UCCUACGGGAGGCAGCAGUGGGGAAUAUUGGACAAUGGGGGCAACCCUGAUCCAGCCAUGCCGCGUGAGUGAUGAAGGCCCUAGGGUUGUAAAGCUCUUUUGUGCGGGAAGAUAAUGACGGUACCGCAAGAAUAAGCCCCGGCUAACUUCGUGCCAGCAGCCGCGGUAAUACGAAGGGGGCUAGCGUUGCUCGGAAUCACUGGGCGUAAAGGGUGCGUAGGCGGGUUUCUAAGUCAGAGGUGAAAGCCUGGAGCUCAACUCCAGAACUGCCUUUGAUACUGGAAGUCUUGAGUAUGGCAGAGGUGAGUGGAACUGCGAGUGUAGAGGUGAAAUUCGUAGAUAUUCGCAAGAACACCAGUGGCGAAGGCGGCUCACUGGGCCAUUACUGACGCUGAGGCACGAAAGCGUGGGGAGCAAACAGGAUUAGAUACCCUGGUAGUCCACGCCCUAAACGAUGUCAACUGGCUGUUGGGAGAGGAAUCUUUCAGUAGCGAAGCUAACGCGUGAAGUUGACCGCCUGGGGAGUACGGCCGCAAGGUUGAAACUCAAAGGA
rnacentral:rRNA from 1 species